ACGGGGUGCAGCAGGCGCGAAAACUCCGCAAUACACGAAAGUGUGACGGGGGGACCCCAAGUGCUCUCGCGCAAGCGAGUGCUUUUGUGAAGUGUAAAUAGCUUUACGAAUAAGAGCUGGGUAAGACCGGUGCCAGCCGCCGCGGUAACACCGGCAGCUCGAGUGGUGAUCAUUAUUAUUGGGCCUAAAGCGUCCGUAGCCUGUUUGAUAAGUCCUUGGGCAAAUCCUGCCGCUUAACGGUAGGAAUUCUGAGGAUACUGUCAGACUUGAGGCCGAGAGAGGUCGGAGGUACUCCUGGGGUAGCGGUGAAAUGCUAUAAUCCUAGGGGGACCACCAGUGGCGAAAGCGUCCGACCAGAGCGGGCCUGACGGUAAGGGACGAAAGCCAGGGGCGCGAACGGGAUUAGAUACCCCGGUAGUCCUGGCCGUAAACGCUGUGGGCUAGGUGUUGCAUGCUCUACGAGGGCGUGCAGUGCCGAAGAGAAGUUGAUAAGCCUACCGCCUGGGAAGUACUAUCGCAAGAUAGAAACUUAAAGGAAUUGGCGGGGGAGCACCACAAGGGGUGAAGUCUGCGGUUUAAUUGGAUUCAACGCCGGANAUCUCACUGGAAGCGACGGCAGUAUGAUGGCCAAGCUGAUGACUUUGCUUGACGAGCCGAGAGGA
rnacentral:rRNA from 1 species